GAUGAACGCUGGCGGCGUGCUUAACACAUGCCAGUCGAACGGUGAAGGCGGAGCUUGCUCUGCUGGAUCAGUGGCGAACGGGUGAGUAACACGUGAGCAAUCUGCCCCUGACUCUGGGAUAAGCGCUGGAAACGGCGUCUAAUACUGGAUACGAGCUGCGAAGGCAUCUUCAGCAGCUGGAAAGAACUUCGGUCAGGGAUGAGCUCGCGGCCUAUCAGCUUGUUGGUGAGGUAACGGCUCACCAAGGCGUCGACGGGUAGCCGGCCUGAGAGGGUGACCGGCCACACUGGGACUGAGACACGGCCCAGACUCCUACGGGAGGCAGCAGUGGGGAAUAUUGCACAAUGGGCGAAAGCCUGAUGCAGCAACGCCGCGUGAGGGACGACGGCCUUCGGGUUGUAAACCUCUUUUGGCAGGGAAGAAGCGAAAGUGACGGUACCUGCAGAAAAAGCGCCGGCUAACUACGUG
rnacentral:rRNA from 1 species